rnacentral:rRNA from 1 species
UACGUAGGGGGCAAGCGUUGUCCGGAUUUAUUGGGCGUAAAGAGCGUGUAGGCGGCCAGGGAGGUCCGUUGUGAAAACUGGAGGCUUAACCUCCAGCUGUCGAUGGAAACCAUCUGGCUAGAGUCCGGAAGAGGAGAGUGGAAUUCCUGGUGUAGCGGUGAAAUGCGCAGAUAUCAGGAAGAACACCCGUGGCGAAGGCGGCUCUCUGGUACGUGACUGACGCUGAGACGCGAAAGCGUGGGGAGCGAACAGG